GGUUUGCCUAUCUUGCUUUCACCCCUGGUCUUCAAUUAACGUGCUUUUGACAUUUUUAUUUGACAAGUUAUUUUUAGUUACUAAUUUGUCACUAGAUUGCAAUUUUGCAACAUAUUGUACAGGUUUUUCGCAUCUCACCACUGAGUACACUCAUUUUUUCCAAAUCUGACACUGACAGUGCGGGAGUUUUGCGAACGGAUUUAUUUUAAAUUUCGCGCUAAUUUCACCCCACUUGACGUCACACCCGAUGCGUAUGCCUAUACCAUGUUUCCUUCUACCAUGGGUGGUCUUGCAAAAUCAGCCUGUAUGUCGCAUCUAUAUUAAUCUAUGGUAUAACGUUCUUGACGUCGAAUUAUUUUUGUCAGAUUUUAACAUCAAAUUAGUUUACAGCACGGUUUACAAUGCUCAUAUGUUUACUAAGAAGAUAGGUUAUGUUACUUUCUGAGAAUUGCCCUUACGAACAGUUGGUGGUAUUUUUGUCUUCUCGGAAGAGUUGUAUGUAACUUGAGAUGUGUUUAAUGUCAAUGUUAAGAUCAUAAUAUGAAAAUACCAAUUAAGAUGUGCUUCUUACGACAGUUGCAGCAUUACAUAAAAUCAUUUAGUAGAAAGUCGACAACAGCAGUUCUUACAACUUCAUAUAAUGUUGAUGAAAAUUUCUUCAAUUUAAAAUGUCAUUGGAAGUAUGUAUUAAUUUUUGGCAUAGGAUAUGUUACAUAUAAACUUCAUAUUAAGGACAAUUUAAUACCAAGUGUACAAGCUACCUCAAAUCGAAGAAAACAAUAUAAUUUUGUAGCUGAUGUAGUUGAAACUACAGCACCAGCUGUUGUCUACAUUGAGAUUAAAGAUGCUAGAAGAGUAGAUUUUUUUACUGGUAAACCUACAACAAUUUCUAAUGGGUCAGGAUUUAUUAUAAGGGAAGAUGGAUUAAUUUUGACGAACGCCCAUGUAGUAGCAAAUAAGCCUUAUUCAAAGGUGGAAGUAAGAUUACAUAAUGGUGUUACAUAUAGUGGCCAUGUAGAAGAUGUGGAUGUCAAAAGCGAUUUAGCAACUGUUCGAAUCUCGGCGAAGAAGUUACCCAUAAUAAAAUUGGGGAAUUCUUCAGAAUUAAGGCCAGGUGAAUUUGUAGUAGCCAUUGGAAGUCCUCUUGCACUAAGCAAUUCUGUAACUUUUGGAGUUAUUAGUUCAACCAGUCGUGGUUCUGAUGAGUUAGGUUUAAGAGGUAAAGAUAUUGUGUAUCUUCAGACAGAUGCUGCUAUUACUUUUGGUAACUCUGGGGGACCAUUAGUUAAUCUAGAUGGAGAUGCAAUUGGUAUUAAUAGUAUGAAGGUUACAGCAGGAAUUUCUUUUGCAAUUCCAAGUGAUUAUGUUAAGGAAUUUUUAAAGAAUGCUGAAGGGGUGAAAAAAACUGGAGCAGGUGGACUCGCUCGAAAAUAUAUGGGAAUUACAAUGCUUACGUUAACACCUCAGAUUUUACACGAGUUGCGUGAAAGAAGUCAGUAUGUACCACCUGAUGUCAAACAUGGCGUUUUGAUAUGGAAAGUGAUUCUAGGCUCCCCAGCACACAGGAGUAACCGUUUGGAAGAGAUUUACAUAUACAAGGUGAUUGCGAAAUACAUGAAAAAAAAAAAGGGGGAAUAGCUCACAAUAUGAUUAUGUCACUGGGUAAAAUUCACGGUUCUAAGUGGUAGCAGUGACUUUAUCAGGCACUUUUAAUCACAACGUGAAAAACACGAAAAGGGCCAGUCAGCAUCGAGCGGUCGGUGAAAUCGGUUUAUGGUGAGGUUUCCCCAUGCAGAGGGUGUCGAUAUGGUAAUUGGUGUGGGCGAACAUGUGCAUGAGUGGUACAUUAUCUCCGAGAUCAUGAUGAUACCUUCAACCUCAAACUCACGACCGUGGCCGUGAUAGGACAGAAAGAAGAAGUUGGAUUUUCACAGCUUGUAGUGCAUCCUACAUUAAAAGAACACGGCCACAUCCAUACCAUGUUGACAAAGUACAGGGUUUGGAGCCCGCUGAUUGUCCACGUUGUGUAACUCACUUUUUGUCCGAUGAAACUCCACAUGCUCGUCAACAAGUACGAUUUCAAGAGACGGUUUUCGAUAUGUGUAUCGGUUGGAUGAAACAGUUAGUUUGUGGAAAUCAACAGUGUCCAGAAAUUAUCGAAGAGCCUCAACAACAAGUGAAAAUGGCAGCCGCUACUUCGGUGUUUUUUUUAGCUAUCAACAAACAUCUUGCGACGCUCUGACGCCUGUAUGGCUAGUCAAGGACAACAUUUUCAACAUUUCUUGUAAAAAGCGGAGGUUUACAGCCGGGAGAUAUUGUGACUCAUAUUAACGGUGAUGAAGUUACUGGGGCUAACGACGUCUACACCAUCCUUACAGA